rnacentral:tRNA from 1 species
GCCUGGGUGGCUCAGUCGGUUAAGUGUCCGACUUCCACUCAGGUCGUGAUCUCGUGGUUUGUGGGUUCGAGUCCCACGUCGGGCU